UUUAUAGGCCCGCGACGGUGAGCAGAUUCGGGAGCGCCGGUCACUCACCGUGGCGCGCAUGGGGGUGCAGAGAGAGGCUGGGGUCGAAACCACGGUCUCAGGACGUGGUUUUGGACCGCUCGAACCAUCUGCAGCAGAGAGAUAGAGAGGGGAGUCGAGCAUUCAUGGCCGCGCAACCUUGGCCGGUUCUGGUGCGCACGGGCACGCGUCGCGCGAGCUCUAGCGCGGGAGAGGAGGGGACCUAAGGCUUGCUCGACGUAGAAGGGUUGUCGGGGAAGAGGUUGGACAUCUCGGGGGAAGCUGGAACUGGCCGAGGGCGUCGCCCCCACCUCGGUGACUCCCUGUAGCGCGCCCAGAGCGUAGUUUUGGCAUGCCACGGCAUGCUGGUGCGCUCUGAGGCACUUUGGACGUGUCUAGCAUGUCCUGGCACUGGUUGGGAG
rnacentral:lncRNA from 1 species